rnacentral:rRNA from 1 species
UACGUAGGCAGCGAGCGUUGUUCGGAAUUACUGGGCGUAAAGAGUGUGUAGGCGGUGCUCUAAGUUCGGUGUGAAAUCUCCUGGCUCAACUGGGAGGGUGCGCCGGAAACUGGAGUGCUUGAGCGUGGGAGAGGAAAGCGGAAUUCCUGGUGUAGCGGUGAAAUGCGUAGAUAUCGGGAGGAACACCAGAGGCGAAGGCGGCGAACUGGACAGUAACUGACACUCAACUGCGAAAGCGUGGGGAGCAAACAGG